rnacentral:rRNA from 1 species
AAGUAGGUGUUGCGUGGUCCAGCGUGAGCAUGCAGGGUACCGUGCGGUGGCGCGGUUGCUUUGUUCUCAGGGUUUUGCCGCACGGCAGUCUCCGACGACACGAUUUAGACCCCACCUCCCCUCCCCUGCGUGGCUCCGCGCCGGCGGAGCGGCUCUAGCUGCCCGGCUGCGUUGGGUCCGGCUCCGGCUCGCUCCCUUCGCUAUGUUGGGUGGUGUUCGUCGCCCGCGCAGCAGCCCAAGCGCACGCCGCCUAUAAGCCUGCCCCGCCGUAUUGUGGGCCCGGCUUGCCCAGCGCGCGAGAGAGAGAGGGCCGCCAGAAGAGGAGCCGGGAGACCGCUACCGCUGCCGCUGCCGCCGCCGCCACACCCUCCUCCUCCGCCUCCACCUCUCCGGCUACGACCUCCUCCUCCCCUUCCCCUUCGUCCCGUUCCCCGCCGCGAUGCCGGAGCAGCUGAUGGCCCGCGACGGCCGGAUGUACGCGCUGUUGCUCAUGUAGGACGCGAUGAUGGCGACGCUCACCGGCGAGGGCGUCCACGAGGAGAGGCAGAAGAGGUAGGUGUUGCUCUGGGAGUUGCAGACCUGCGUGAACUAUCCUAAGAAGUAGAAGGAAAGAAACUGGUAUAUAUGACGUUGUUUUCAAGGUUUACACCUAGAAGUCUCGGACGUCUUAAAUGGACUAUAUGAAUCCUUACGACUAGAAGUAUUCUAAGUCCGUCUCGAACGCCGUACGGAAGGAAGUAAUGGAGUGAAAAGACUAGACGUUUUCUACUUCCUACUUAACUCUUCGAGUACCUUAAGAUAGCUACACGAAGGCAGUUAUAGAGCAACCGCAGAGAACCUUAAUGAGAGUUUAACGAACGGACUGUCUAAAUGGGUAAGGUUGCUUUGAUUAGAAAGACAAGAACUUUCGUACUUCCUCCUAUAACAUUGACAUUAACGUGGUGUGAAAUAAUCCGGCUAGAGAUCCACCGGCAAGAAACGGAAGAACCCUCCUCGGUACAAAACGGAAGAACGGUCGUCGUGUACGGUGGAAGACAGGACGGUGAGAGCGGCGGAACGUAUAUAGUACGAAGCCGAGCUGAUACGCCCGUAACGUCGAGAAUAGCGGUGAAGAAAGAUGGGAGGUCAUAUGAUGAGAAAGGACACGGUAGGAAAGAAAACGUUGGACAUGGAGUCGAAGUAUUGAUAAGAUCCUAAUCGUUGAUAACGCAAGAGAGACGAGGGCCAGAAGGUCUUGGGCCUUAAGGCUUGAUAUGCCCGCACGGAGAAGAAACCGUACCCUCGAAGUCCACACUAGGGACAAAAAGUGUUCAACUAGGAAAAAACCGUGGUUGGUCUCCGUGACUAGUGAUGGCCUAUACUUUAAAACUACCCCGACAAGAUGCCACAACCUCGUAACCACAUGCGCUGAGCCCACGGACUUGCGACCUACGGGCCCUUCAAACUGUAACGACCCGUGUCGGUGGUCGAGAAGGUACAGAACCAGCAACGACCUCGGAUGUGGGUGAUGGUACGUCCCGACAACAUGGAGUUCACCUCUCUAGUCGUCCCGACGAUUUUCAACAAGAUAACAAUGUCCCACACCUAUCUAAAUAAACCAAUAUACCAACACAGAGACUAGUUAUCUUCUGACAACUUAGUCCCAUUUCUUAAAUGACUAGACACAUUUCACAUAUGAUCUGCUUUAUUUGUUCAUUUUAACUCCACUAAUAUUGAAAGAAUGACCGAAUUCCACUAAUAUAAGUCGUUGGAAGUACUUUCCAACUAUGAUGAACACAAUAACAGAACCACUACCUUAGACUCAUCGUUAACUAACGUCAACGACAGGUGUCGGCACGUGUAGUCGAUGCUGGACGCUCUGUUCAAACAACGUCUUCUUCGUAGCGGUUCGCAGACUUAACUAUAUUAAACUGUCCGACUCCAGCUACCGUGGCCGACUUAACAAGAGGAAAAAACCAUGGUUAUUAUUAUGUCGUGGCGCCGACAACAACCACCGAGUACAGAGACGAGCCAGCGUUUUAUAGCAAGUGUACCUAGAUAGAUCCGAGUAGCGGCACCGGCACGAGGAGCCGCGGAACGCGGGCGAGGACUCGGUGACGCGGCCGCUGCAGCUCCCGGAUGUGGGCGAGCACGACCACGGUCCCAUGCCCAGGUUGGACGAGCUCCGCGCCGACUGCCGCCGCAUGCUCGGCGGCCGCGGGCCGACGCCAUUCCCCUUACCCACCAAGGCCGACACCGGCUAGUUCGUCUGCCGCUACGUCCUGGGGGCGGUCCAGGGCACGAAGCACCUGGUCUACUCGGAGCAGAUGCUGCGGCAGCGGCUGCUGAUGCCGUUGCAACGGCCGCAGCACUGGGCCCAGGGCGAGAAGCCGAGGUGCGCGCCGAAUUAACCCACCCUGGGGGACGACGCCCUCGACCUCCGGCGCCCGAUGGCGCUGCCGCUCUCGGAGAAGCGGCACGGCAUGCUGAAGGCGAUGAGGCAGCGCGGCGCGCCGGUGGGCAGGCGCCUCCCGCGGACGUUGAAGCUGCUCAAGUGCGCCGAGCAGCUUUCCCGCUCGAGCGAGUCGGUCCCUGCCGGCCAGCAGCAGCGGCGCGUGUCGAAGCCGACGCGCGAGUGGAUGGUCAAGGAGGAGCCGGCGGGCGAGCGGACCGCGGCCGCGAAGCACUUCGCGCAGCAGAAGCAGCGGAGGCGCGAGCCGCCGAAGAGCCUCCCCUACUUGCUGGACCGGCGGCCGUGCCUGAUGCCGGACGGCUUGCAGCGCGCCGGCCGCUCCCAGGCCGACCGCGCCUCGGUCGUCUCGCGCGAGACCGCGGACGGGUGCGGCCGCCACAAGCCCCUGGCCGGCGACCACCACUGGUUCUUGCGCUGCAUGUGCCGUGUGUUGUAACGCCUCAAGAAGCUCCGGCAGCCGAAGGGCCUUCCCCAGGCCGGCAUGCACUGCGCCCACGACGGUCGUACCCUCCGCGACGGCCGCGGCUACCACGGCCACUGGUCGUAGUAGCCCCAGCCGCAGUCGUGCGGCCUCUGCAAGCACAUGCCCCUUCUGCCCAAGCGCCCCUGGGGCCUCCACCACAUGCCGCUGCCGCUACCGCUGUAUUUGUACCACUCAGACCACCGGUAGCUCUUCCUCACCAGACCCCACCUUCCGGUCCAAGACUGCCACCAGUCCAACGGGCCGCAAGCAGUGCUACCGAAGAAGUCGCAACCAAAGCGAGACCUUUUUCACCAACGACUUUAUGAGCUCCGACGACCUUGAUAUCUUGAGGUAGGCUUCUAACCGGCUCACGUCUAGCUACGUCCAGGGCAGACCUUCCUUCUAUCUACAUCUCACGUGCUUCCGGAAAUAUUACGAAGCUCAUUACGCAAAAACCUCCACGAGACUCAAACUCAUUACAAUUAUCACUACUUUUCAUUCUCUAAAACUUUUGCUUGGUCCUAGUAUUAGAGUGUCUGCCAUCUAUUUUCAAGGGUUUACUAUUCACAGUUACACAGUAUAUAUACCGUGUUUCGUCAGGACUGAAAAAAA